rnacentral:rRNA from 1 species
AUGUUUGAUCUUCUGGCCGGAGAGUACUUAAUUACUGGUGGCAGCUCCAUGAGGUGUGUAUGUGUACGUGUCUUCAGGUGCCAAGCAAGAGAAGCCUCCUCUACAUCAUGUUGCAGUUGUCCAGUAUGGAGUGUUGCUUUGAUUCAGGAAAAUCAAGAUCGAGAAGCAGAGGGUGACCACCAUAAACUGACCGGUCACCAGCCACCUCCAUCCAUUCUACAACAUUGGAUUGUGAAAUGGCACCACAGGACACUUAGCCAUGCAGGACUACUAUUUUUUCUGGACCAUUCUGUCGAGGUUUUCAUUUGA